GCCCCACCCACCUAGAGGAGCCUGUUCUAUAAUCGAUAACCCCCGCUUAACCUCACCACUUCUUGCCAAUACCGCCUAUAUACCACCGUCGCCAGCCCACCCCGUGAGGGAAAUAGUAGGCACAAUGAUAAGUCACCAAAACGUCAGGUCAAGGUGUAGCGUAUGAAAUGGAAAGAAAUGGGCUACAUUCUCUAACCUAGAGCACACGAAAAAUCAUAUGAAAUUAGAUUAGAAGGAGGAUUUAGUAGUAAAAAGAAACAAUAGUGUUCUUUUUAAGUUGGCCCUGGGGCGCGCACACACCGCCCGUCACCCUCUUCAACUAAUAAAACACGAUUUAUAAAACACAAAACAAACACAAGAAGAGGUAAGUCGUAACAUGGUAAGUAUACCGGAAGGUGUGCUUGGAAUUA
rnacentral:rRNA from 1 species